rnacentral:rRNA from 1 species
AUUGAACGCUGGCGGCAUGGCUAAAACAUGCAAGUCGAACGCGAACGGGGCAACCCUAGUAGAGUGGCGAAAGGGCGAGUAAUACAUUUCUAACGUACCCCGGACUCACGGAUAAUCCGCUGAAAGGACGGACUAAUACGUGAUAACACCUCCGAGUCGUAUGGCUUGGCGGUCAAAGGCUUGCCGGUCCGGGAGCGGGGAAGUGUCCUAUCAGCUAGUUGGUGAGGUAACGGCUCACCAAGGCUUAGACGGGUAGCGGGUGGUGAGAGCACGGCCCGCCGCAUCGGGACUGAGACACUGCCCGGACUCCUACGGGAGGCUGCAGUAACGAAUAUUCCGCAAUGCGCGAAAGACGUGACGGAGCGAUGCCGCGUGGAGGAUGAAGCCCCUCGGGGUGUAAACUCCUGUCAGGGUUUAGCAAAGAAUGGGCAUACCCAGAGGAAGAGACGGCUAACUCUGUG